CCUACGGGUGGCAGCAGUGGGGAAUAUUGGACAAUGGGCGAAAGCCUGAUCCAGCCAUGCCGCGUGUGUGAAGAAGGCCUUCGGGUUGUAAAGCACUUUCAGUGGGGAAGAAAGCCUUGGGGCUAAUACCCUCGAGGAAGGACAUCACCCACAGAAGAAGCACCGGCUAACUCCGUGCCAGCAGCCGCGGUAAUACGGAGGGUGCGAGCGUUAAUCGGAAUUACUGGGCGUAAAGCGCGCGUAGGCGGUCUGAUAAGCCGGUUGUGAAAGCCCCGGGCUCAACCUGGGAACGGCAUCCGGAACUGUCAGGAGAGAGUGCAGGAGAGGAAGGUAGAAUUCCCGGUGUAGCGGUGAAAUGCGUAGAGAUCGGGAGGAAUACCAGUGGCGAAGGCGGCCUUAUGGACUGACACUGCCGCUGAGGUGCGAAAGCGUGGGUAGCAAACAGGAUUAGAUACCCUAGUAGUC
rnacentral:rRNA from 1 species